GACAGAGGCCUCGAGCGUUAGGCGGAAUCACUGGGCUUAAAGCGUGUGUAGGCGGGCCCGUAAGUGUCUUGUGAAAUCCCACGGUUCAACCGUGGAACUGCUGGGCAUACUGCGGGUCUUGGGCCAACUAGGGGCAGCCGGAACAAGCGGUGGAGCGGUGAAAUGCGUAGAUAUCGCUUGGAACGCCGAAGGUGAAAACAGGCUGCUGGGGUUGCGCCGACGCUGAGACACGAAAGCCAGGGGAGCAAACGGG
rnacentral:rRNA from 1 species